rnacentral:rRNA from 1 species
AGUGGAUGGGGAGCAACCUAGUUGUGCGUGUGUAAAGGUAGUGCCAAGAAAAGCGGUGAUCAUGAUGAAAAUCAAUUCCCGGUACCCGAAACCGACACAGGUGGGCAAGUAGAGAAUACUAAGGGGCGCGAGGUAACUCUCUCCAAGGAACUCGGCAAAAUGACCCCGUAACUUAGGGAGAAGGGGUGCCACCGAGAGGUGGUCGCAGUGAAGAGGCCCAGGCGACUGUUUAGCAAAAACAUAGGUCUCUGCAAACUCGAAAGAGGAGGUAUAGGGGCUGACGCCUGCCCAGUGCCGGAAGGUUAAAGAAGUUGGUCAGUCUUAGGAUGAAGCUAGCGACUGAAGCCCCGGUGAACGGCGGCCGUAACUAUAACGGUCCUAAGGUAGCGAAAUUCCUUGUCGGGUAAGUUCCGACCCGCACGAAAGGCGUAACGAUCUGGGCGCUGUCUCGGAGAGAGGCUCGGCGAAAUAGGAUUGUCUGUGAAGAUACGGACUACCUGCAUUUGGACAGAAAGACCCUAUGAAGCUUUACUAUAGCUUGGAAUUGUGUUCGGGCUUCCUGUGCGCAGGAUAGGUGGGAGGCGUAGAAGGUAUUCUUGUGGGGAUACUGGAGCCAACGGUGAGAUACCACUCUCAGGAGGCUAGAAUUCUAACUUAAUUAAGGACAGUUUCAGGUGGGUAGUUUGACUGGGGCGGUCGCCUCCAAAAAGGUAACGGAGGCGUACAAAGGUUCCCUCAGACUGGUUGGAAAUCAGUCGAAGAGUGCAAAGGCAGAAGGGAGCUUGACUGCGAGAAGUACAGUUCGAGCAGGGUGGAAACACGGUCUUAGUGAUCCGACGGUGCUGUGUGGAAGGGCCGUCGCUCAACGGAUAAAAGUUACUCUAGGAUAACAGGCCAUCUCCCCCAAGAGUUCACAUCGACGGGGAGGUUUGGCACCUCGAUGUCGGCUCAUCGCAACCUGGGGCGGAAGUACGUCCCAAGGGUUGGGCUGUUCGCCCAUUAAAGCGGUACGUGAGCUGGGUUCAGAACGUCGUGAGACAGUUCGGUCCAUAUCCGAUGUAGGCGUGAGAAUAUUGAUAGGAGCCUUCCUUAGUACGAGAGGACCGGGAAGGACGCACCGCUGGUGUACCUGUUAUGAUGCCAAUUGUAAACGCAGGGUAGCCAAGUGCGGAGAGGAUAACCGCUGAAAGCAUCUAAGUGGGAAGCCCACCUCAAGAUGAGUAUUCUGGUGUAAGGUCACGGGAAGACGACCCGUAAAUAGGCACGAGGUGGAAGUGCAGAGAUGUAUGAAGCCGAAGUGUACUAAUAGACCGUCGGCUUGACC